rnacentral:rRNA from 1 species
GAUGAACGCUGGCGGCGUGCCUAAUACAUGCAAGUCGAGCGAACAGACGAGGAGCUUGCUCCUCUGACGUUAGCGGCGGACGGGUGAGUAACACGUGGAUAACCUACCUAUAAGACUGGGAUAACUUCGGGAAACCGGAGCUAAUACCGGAUAAUAUAUUGAACCGCAUGGUUCAAUAGUGAAAGACGGUUUUGCUGUCACUUAUAGAUGGAUCCGCGCCGCAUUAGCUAGUUGGUAAGGUAACGGCUUACCAAGGCGACGAUGCGUAGCCGACCUGAGAGGGUGGUCGGCCACACUGGAACUGAGGCACGGUCCAGACUCCUACGGGGAGCAGCAGUAGGGAAUCUUCCGCAAUGGGCGAAAGCCUGACGGAGCAACGCCGCGUGAGUGAUGAAGGUCUUCGGAUCGUAAAACUCUGUUAUUAGGGAAGAACAAAUGUGUAAGUAACUAUGCACGUCUUGACGGUACCUAAUCAGAAAGCCACGGCUAACUACGUG